rnacentral:rRNA from 1 species
CUCGCCAGAGUACCAAUUGGAGGGCAAGUCUGGUGCCAGCAGCCGCGGUAAUUCCAGCUCCAAUAGCGUAUAUUAAACUUGUUGCAGUUAAAAAGCUCGUAGUUGAACUUCAGCGUCAGUGGCAUCGCGUCGCUUUUUAGCGUUGCCGUCCGUUGGCUUUUCUUUUUACUUUGAGAAAAUUAGAGUGUUUCAAGCAGACUUUUGUCUUGAAUACUUCAGCAUGGAAUAAUAGAGUAGGACCUUGGUUCUAUUUUGUUGGUUUCUGAACCUGGGUAAUGGUUAAUAGGAACGGUUGGGGGCAUUCGUAUUUAACUGUCAGAGGUGAAAUUCUUAGAUUUGUUAAAGACGAACCAGUGCGAAAGCAUUUGCCAAGGACGUUUUCAUUAAUCAAGAACGAAAGUUAGGGGAUCGAAGACGAUCAGAUACCGUCGUAGUCCUAACCAUAAACUA